rnacentral:rRNA from 1 species
UCCAGACUCCUACGGGAGGCAGCAGUGGGGGAUAUUGCACAAUGGGGGGAACCCUGAUGCAGCGACGCCGCGUGGGUGAAGGAGCGUUUCGGCGCGUAAAGCCCUAUCGGCAGGGAAGAAGGAGGACGGUACCUGACUAAGAAGCCCCGGCUAACUACGUGCCAGCAGCCGCGGUAAUACGUAGGGGGCAAGCGUUAUCCGGAUUUACUGGGUGUAAAGGGGGCGCAGACGGCAGCGCAAGCCAGGAGUGAAAGCCCGGGGCCCAACCCCGGGACUGCUCUUGGAACUGCGCGGCUGGAGUGCAGGAGGGGCAGGCGGAAUUCCUGGUGUAGCGGUGAAAUGCGUAGAUAUCAGGAGGAACACCGGUGGCGAAGGCGGCCUGCUGGACUGCGACUGACGUUGAGGCUCGAGAGCGUGGGGAGCAAACAGGAUUAGAUACCCUAGGA